rnacentral:rRNA from 1 species
UACGUAGGGUGCGAGCGUUGUCCGGAAUUACUGGGCGUAAAGGGCUCGUAGGUGGUUUGUCGCGUCGUCUGUGAAAUUCCGGGGCUUAACUCCGGGCGUGCAGGCGAUACGGGCAUAACUUGAGUACUGUAGGGGUAACUGGAAUUCCUGGUGUAGCGGUGAAAUGCGCAGAUAUCAGGAGGAACACCGAUGGCGAAGGCAGGUUACUGGGCAGUUACUGACGCUGAGGAGCGAAAGCAUGGGUAGCGAACAGGAUUAGAUACCCUGGUAGUCAAGGGCGAAUUCGUU